CCAAGGGAAUAAUACUAGAUCAUUGUGUCAUCUGGAGAACAUCUUCUCGAGGGUUAGGGUUAGGUUUAUAAAUUACAUGUCAAACAUACAAAUUGAAGCUGUAACAACGGUGGAUUGUGGCUAAAACUAUUCUGAAGGGUUAGGGUUAGAUUUGUGGGUAUAAACACUGACAGAUAUUCUACAGAUCGGUCAAGAUCCAGUUAUCGGUUUGCAGUAGAGUUUUUGGAAAUCUCGUUAAAAAAUCAACAGUAAAAAAAUAUUUUGAGAAAAAAAAAAUGGAUAUGAUAUAUAAAACAAACUGAACAAGUUGGAUCAGGAAAGACUAUCACAAUGCCUAGAAGAAAAAGGAGGAAAUGGAUUAAAAAUUUACAACAACAUUGGCGUAAAUGGCGUGAUAGCAUUGCAGAUAAGUCCCUACUUGAUUCACCAAAUGAACCCCUUCCUGAUUCAACAAAUGAACCCCUUCCUGGAUCACAAGAUCAACCUCUUCCUGGAUCACGAGAUGAACGCUUUCCUGGAUCACGAGAUGAACCCCUUCCGGGAUCAAUAGAUGAACCCUUUCCUGGAUCACGAGAUGAACCCCUUCCGGGAUCACCGGAUCAACCCAGUCCUGCUUCAUGAGAUCAACUGGAAACUAAUAAUGUUAAAACAUUCCAUCAUUGUGUUUUUUGUGAUGAGAUUUUUAAAGAGUACAGUGAUCUAGAUCUUCACUAUGAACUACACGUGAACAAGAAGAUCCAUGUUGAAGGAGAAAAAAUUGACAGUAUCGUAAAACACCGCAAAAGACAUGUUAAAACGGGGCAAAUUGCUAAUGUUGUAAAACUCCGCAAAAGACAUGUUAAAACGGGGCAAAUUGCUAAUGUUGUAAAACACCGCAAAAGAUAUUGAUAAUGCUGUAAAACUCCGCAAAAGACAUGUUAAAAAAGACGAUAUUGAUAAUGCUGUAAAACUCCGCAAAAGACAUGUUAAAAAAGACGAUAUUGAUAAUGCUGUAAAACUCCGCAAAAGACAUGUUAAAAAAGACGAUAUUGAUAAUGCGGUAAAACUCCGCAAAAGACAUGUUCAAGAAGAAAAAAUUGAUGUUGUAAAACUUCACAAGAAACAUGUUAAAGAAGAGGAAAUUGAUAACUUGAAUUAUUUUCAGUGUAACUUGUGUGAAAGAAAAUUUGAUUUAUACCCUGAUUUAGAAGAACAUUGUAAAAUACAUAUGGAAUAUGAAGAAUCUCCUAUCAUAGGACAAAAUGUUAAAGAAAGCGAAUCUAUUGCAAUUACUUUAUAUCAAUGUACAUUAUGUCAAAUUUGCUUUGAGCAAUAUUUUGACCUGGAAGAACAUUGUAAACUUCAUGGAUAUCAAUGUACAGGCAGAGUUAGGUCUUCCAUUAGAUUCAAAAGAAAAUACAUCCAAAACAGUUUUCUGUGAACACUGUGGGAUUCUUCAGAAGCAGAUAAGAGAAUUAGAAGCGAAGCUGGAUAAAGCCAACAAUAAAUUGGAAGAUAGUCGAUAUGUUGAUAUACCUGUCAAUACCUACACAGACACCGUAUUGCCCUGAGCCGGUAGAUUUAAUAAAAGAACAUCAGAGAAAUAUAAAAUGAUUGAACUCUGUCAUGGGUAUGGUGUGUUCAUAUAUCCAUCAGAUCUCGUCCACGUCAAGAAAUUAUUCGAGAAAACAAAGAGUGGACAAUCCGUGACUCGUCACCUUCUGAGCGUCAUGUUUACAAAAGAAGAGCUAUGUUUUGGUUCAGUAUCAAAAGAUCCUAAACCUGGUCUGAUGUCAUUGGAUGCAACCGUAGUUCAAGCCAUUAGAGAUUACUGUGUAGCAAUGUCAAAGGACAAGAACGUGGCCAUUAAUCAAGCUCUUCACAACAAAUUAACCACGUACAGAUAUAAGGCGAGGUGUAGGGCAACAAGUCCUGAAUACUGAUCAUUGACAGUGCUUAUCUAGAUGAAAUUAUGGAUGACGAAACCCCCGUGCUUAUUGAAGGAGUCAAGUCGCUAACUAACUCAAUAUCAUCCAGUCUUCGACAAUGCAAACAGAAACGAUUGAUGUUUCAGUCAAAAUGAAAAUAUUAACAUUGGCACUUGAAUCGCGUGUAGAAUGCUUCGGGUACCAUUUGCAUUAAGGGACUCGAUGAAGGAGACUAAAUAUAUCCCACGUAGAAGAUUAUCACCUUUUAAAUUCAGACCCUUCGCGUAUUUUGCCAAACAUAACUGAUUAUAAAUUACAGUAUAAUAGAAACGAUUGAAUGUAAAUCAGGUUAUAUAUAUUCAUAAUACAUUAUUAUGUGUUGCGACCUAUUUGUGUCCAUUACUGGGUGCCACAGAAUAGAGAUUUAGCUCUUUCUGGGUUGAUUGCUUAUUAUAUUCAAAUACUAGAUUGGUGGGGAAAACCCGUUCUUAUUUAAUCAAGAUGCUGAGUUGGUGGAGAGAUUUAAGGCCAAGAGUAGCAGAAAGAUAUCAGUAGAAUAUACCACAAGUUCCAAAUACCGAUUAUUGAUAGUGCUUUUAUUGCUGGGUUUGUGGGGGAAACACCGGAUUGUUUAGUUAAAGUGCUGGAUGGUGGGGGAUACCCUGUGAUUAUUUAAUAAAUAUACUGGGUUGGCGGGGAACCCCGGGCUUGUUUAGUUAAAAUAUUGGGUUGGUGGGGAAAUCCCGGGCCUGUUUAGUUAAAAUACUGGGUUGUUGAGGAAAAUAAAUUUAUCUUUAAAUUGAAUCCGACCUCUGUUUUAUUGUCUCUGAAACAUUUCCACCGCGGCGCCCUAACCUAACCAGGCGGUGUGGCGUGUUUCAUUGACUUGAAGACCGUGAUAAAAGUGACCGUAAAUAUAAAAGUAAAUAUAAAAGUAAACAUAAUCAAUCGCUGUUUUAAUGAAAUGCAAAUAUGCUUGUUUUUGUUCAGUUAAUAUCGAUGUGAUUCAUGAUGUCAUAAAUCAACCUCUUCUAUGUACCAGUUUGCAUACAUGAAAUAAAAGGGAGUAAAAUGAGA